rnacentral:rRNA from 1 species
GGCGACCGGCGCACGGGUGAGUAACGCGUAUGCAACCUACCUUAUACUGGGGGAUAGCCCAGAGAAAUCUGGAUUAAUACCGCAUAACAAUGUUUUAUCGCAUGGUAAGAUAUUUAAAACUCCGGUGGUAUAAGAUGGGCAUGCGUAGCAUUAGUUAGUUGGUGAGGUAACGGCUCACCAAGACAAUGAUGCUUAGGGGGUCUGAGAGGAUAGUCCCCCACACUGGUACUGAGACACGGACCAGACUCCUACGGGAGGCAGCAGUGAGGAAUAUUGGUCAAUGGACGAAAGUCUGAACCAGCCAUGUCGCGUGCAGGAUGACGGCCCUAUGGGUUGUAAACUGCUUUUUUACAGGAAUAAUUGUCGAUACGUGUAUCGAUUUGAAUGUACUGUAUGAAUAAGGAUCGGCUAACUCCGUGCCAGCAGCCGCGGUAAUACGGAGGAUUCGAGCGUUAUCCGGAUUUAUUGGGUUUAAAGGGUCCGUAGGCGGUCUUUUAAGUCAGUGGUGAAAUCCCAGAGCUCAACUCUGGAACUGCCAUUGAAACUGAAAGACUUGAAUAUGGUUGAGGUAGGCGGAAUACGUUAUGUAGCGGUGAAAUGCAUAGAUAUAACGUAGAACACCAAUUGCGAAGGCAGCUUACUAAACCAUUAUUGACGCUGAUGGACGAAAGCGUGGGGAGCGAACAGGAUUAGAUACCCUGGUAGUCCACGCCGUAAACGAUGAUUACUCGUUGUGCACAAUACAUCGUGCGUGACUUAGCGAAAGCAUUAAGUAAUCCACCUGGGGAGUACGUUCGCAAGAAUGAAACUCAAAGGAAUUGACGGGGGCCCGCACAAGCGGAGGAACAUGUGGUUUAAUUUCGAUGAUACGCGAGGAACCUUACCUGGACUUAAAUGUAGAUUGACCGGUUUAGAAAUAGAUCUU